rnacentral:rRNA from 1 species
GACGGAGGAUGCAAGUGUUAUCCGGAAUCACUGGGCGUAAAGCGUCUGUAGGUGGUUCGAAAAGUCCACUGUUAAAAAUUGAGGCUUAACUUCAAAGAUGCCGUGGAAACUUUCAAACUAGAGUAUGGUAGGGGUAGAGGGAAUUUCCAGUGGAGCGGUGAAAUGCGUAGAUAUUGGAAAGACCACCGAUGGCGAAGGCACUCUACUGGGCCAUUACUGACACUGAGAGACGAAAGCUAGGGGAGCAGACGGG